UCAGCUCUUCAUUACACCAAUCAGAAGGUGCCUUAGUCAGGCGAGGCAGGACAGAGAAAUGUCUUCACAUGGUGUACAAAAGUACUCUUCCAAGAUGGAAACUUAAACAGGAAGAAGACAUCGACACUUAAGAACAGUAAGAAUGUUCACAGGGACAUAUGUGUUGAUGGAUCAAAGAGCAAAGGAGUAGUGAGACUGUAUGUCUGAUGGUCAGAUGACAGCAGCUGUGGGUCUUAGAGGACCAAAUAAAUGACUAUAAACACAGAGAGAGAGAGAGAGUGUGUGUUCCCCUGGUAUCUUUGGGAACAAUUAAAAAUAAGGAUAAAUAAAGAAGAUUAAAA